CCUACGGGUGGCUGCAGUGGGGGAUAUUGCACAAUGGGGGGAACCCUGAUGCAGCGACGCCGCGUGGGUGAAGAAGGGCCUCGGCGCGUAAAGCCCUGUCAGCAGGGAAGAAAAUGACGGUACCUGAAGAAGAAGCCCCGGCUAACUACGUGCCAGCAGCCGCGGUAAUACGUAGGGGGCAAGCGUUAUCCGGAUUUACUGGGCGUAAAGGGGGCGCAGGCGGGUGUGUAAGCCAGGAGUGAAAGCCCGGGGCCCCACCCCGGGACGGCUCUUGAAACUGGGUGGCUGGAGUGCAGGAGGGGAAGGCGGAAUUCCUGGUGUAGCGGUGAAAUGCGUAGAUAUCAGGCGGAACACCGGUGGCGAAGGCGGCCUGCUGGACUGCAACUGACGCUGAGGCACGAAAGCGUGGGGAGCAAACAGGAUUAGAUACCCGUGUAGUC
rnacentral:rRNA from 1 species